GGACCGGCUGUGUGAAAUUGUUAUCACCGUUUUACCGGGAGCGAAGGUGGAGGCGGCGGGGGAACCCGAAUGGAAAAAACUAACCCAGGAGACAAUUGUAGAACUGCUUCAUGCCGGUCUUUAUGAAGUGAGGAAAUACAAAGGAAGAAAGAAGAGCAAGAGAAUCUUCCUCAGCUCAUCCAUGAUGUCUGGAGUUUGCAAGUGCCUUCCCUUCUGUUUACGAUUGUGUUCUGCUAGCAAGGCUAUCAUCUAAAGAUGGCAUCCAAGAGAAUAAUAAUAAUAAUAAUAACCAGCAUCACAAAGUAUUUUAUGGGUAUUAUCUCAUUUGAGCCUCAUAACAACUCUGUAAGUUAUGUACAGUAGCAUCUCCAUUUUACAGAUAAGGAAAUUGAGGCUGAGGGAGAUUAAGUGACAUGGUCACACAACUAGUAAGUGUUUGAGGUAAGAUUCUAGCUCAAGUCUUCCUGACUCCCAAGUAUGGUGUUUUAACCAUGCCACUUCCUAUUAUUAUUCUGUACAUCCUGUCUCUUUUUUUGUUAGCAAGUUGCUUGUCAGUCCUAGCAUGUAGCACAUCAGUGACUUGGUGACUAUGGGUACUUUUGAACCAGUCUGUCUUAAUAUUGCCUACUAAAGCCAUUCCCUUUGCUUCAGGCUUAUAAAUGUGGCAUAGCUCAAAGAUGCUGUCAGAGUUUCAUUGGAUUCUUCAGGAUAAGCAAGAGAAAGAAGUUUAUAGUAAUAUAGAAGGUUCACAUUUGGUUCAAUAACUAUACCUAAAAAAAAAAAGUUGAUUAAUGUUGAUAGUAGCCUGGAGGGAAACCUUCAGUAGUGUUCUCAGGGUUCUAUUGUUCUUAGCCUUUUUUAACAUUUUCAUUAUGGAUACCAUUGGAUGAAGUGGGGGAUUUUCUUUCCAAUUUAAGUAUCUUUAUUUUCUUGUUAAAAAAAAAAGAGAGAGAGAGAUUUACCGUGUUACACUGUGCUCAAAAUUACAUAGGAAGAAUUAAGACUCAGGUUCACGGCCAGCUUCUAAGCUGAAAGGAGAUGACCACCUGACUAGAUUACACAAAGUCCAAUAUAAAUAUCAGCAGAGUUCCUGAAGCAUAUUACAGAGGCUAGAUGAGAUUAGACCUAUGUUUCCUUCACACUUCUCUGUCUUGUUUAUUAAAUUUGAAGUUGAUACACAGGACAAAUAGUUGAUAUUUUGGAUGACAGAAUCAUGCUCCAAAAAUAUCAACCAGCUGUAAUAAUUGGAUGAAUAAAGAAAGAUGAAACUUACUUGUAAGUCCUCA
rnacentral:lncRNA from 1 species